AUUGAACGCUGGCGGCAUGCCUUACACAUGCAAGUCGAACGGCAGCACGGGUGCUUGCACCUGGUGGCGAGUGGCGAACGGGUGAGUAAUACAUCGGAACGUACCUUAUCGUGGGGGAUAACGGAGCGAAAGCUGUGCUAAUCCCGCAUACGCCCUGAGGGGGAAAGCGGGGGAUCGCAAGACCUCGCGCGAUUAGAGCGGCCGAUGCCUGAUUAGCUUGUUGGUGGGGUAAAAGACCACCAAGGCGACGAUCAGUAGCUGGUCUGAGAGGACGAUCAGCCACACUGGGACUGAGACACGGCCCAGACUCCUACGGGAGGCAGCAGUGGGGAAUUUUGGACAAUGGGGGCAACCCUGAUCCAGCAAUGCCGCGUGAGUGAAGAAGGCCUUCGGGUUGUAAAGCUCUUUUGUCAGGGAAGAAACACCGGCUCUAACACAGUCUGGGAAUGACGGUACCUGAAGAAUAAGCACCGGCUAACUACGUGCCAGCCGCCGCGGUAA
rnacentral:rRNA from 1 species